CCUACGGGGGGCUGCAGUGGGGAAUAUUGGACAAUGGGGGGAACCCUGAUCCAGCCAUGCCGCGUGUGUGAAGAAGGCCCUCGGGUUGUAAAGCACUUUCAGUGAGGAAGAACGCCUGGUGGUUAAUACCCAUCAGGAAAGACAUCACUCACAGAAGAAGCACCGGCUAACUCCGUGCCAGCAGCCGCGGUAAUACGGAGGGUGCGAGCGUUAAUCGGAAUUACUGGGCGUAAAGCGCGCGUAGGUGGCUUGAUAAGCCGGUUGUGAAAGCCCCGGGCUCAACCUGGGAACGGCAUCCGGAACUGUCAAGCUAGAGUGCAGGAGAGGAAGGUAGAAUUCCCGGUGUAGCGGUGAAAUGCGUAGAGAUCGGGAGGAAUAACAGUGGCGAAGGCGGCCUUCUGGACUGACACUGACACUGAGGUGCGAAAGCGUGGGUAGCAAACAGGAUUAGAUACCCCGGUAGUC
rnacentral:rRNA from 1 species